rnacentral:lncRNA from 1 species
UUUCAUUAUAUAUUGUUUAGAAAUUUUAUUGUUUGAACUUUCACAUAUUUUUUACCAAAGGAAAACAAAAAUCAUCUGCAUACCUUCUAAAAGGUCACAUAAUUGAGAUGGUGAUAAUGCACCAGAGGAAAAAAAUUUCAAAGAGAAUUGAGUGAUGAUGCAAUUUCAAGAAGAUGUGGAAGUGGUAAAGAGUGUGAAUUUGUUGAAGAAGAGACAUUGAACAUGGUGAUACGUUAGGCAUAUUUGGUCGUUGUUAUUCUUUAUCAUGUUUGACUUCUAGCUUUAAUAUUAUGAAUGUCUUCAUAGUUUUUGAUGCGCUAUUGUUUUUCAUGUUGUGAUCUUCCUAUUCACUUUCUAUUGACGUCAGAUUUAUUUAUUUUAAUUUGCUUAAUUUGUUUAUGACUACAGUGAC